rnacentral:rRNA from 1 species
CUACGGGAGGCAGCAGUAAGGAAUAUUGGUCAAUGGAGGCAACUCUGAACCAGCCAUGCCGCGUGCAGGAUGAAGGCCCUAUGGGUCGUAAACUGCUUUUAUACCAGAGAAAACCCUUCCACGUGUGGAAGGCUGAUAGUAUGGUAAGAAUAAGCAUCGGCUAACUUCGUGCCAGCAGCCGCGGUAAGACGAAGGAUGCAAGCGUUAUCCGGAUUCAUUGGGUUUAAAGGGUGCGUAGGCGGACUGAUAAGUCAGUGGUGAAAUCUCUCAGCUUAACUGAGAAACUGCCAUUGAUACUGUCAGUCUAGAGUAUAGAUGACGUUGGCGGAAUAUGACAUGUAGUGGUGAAAUACUUAGAUAUGUCAUAGAACACCGAUUGCGAAGGCAGCUAACGAAACUAUAACUGACGCUGAGGCACGAAAGUGCGGGGAUCAAACAGGAUUAGAUACCCUGGU